rnacentral:lncRNA from 1 species
GGGUGCUGCAGUGCCAGUGUCGUCCUUUCUCAAGAGAUCAUCUGCCUGGAGUGUGGCCUUUGAGAGCCUCGGCGAGCUCGCGAUCAAGCUCCUCCGCAAAGUUCAUGGUCAUCCUACUCGGGAAUUCACAGGAGAAAACGCAAAGGUAUCAGGAAAGAGGAACGAUUUCACUGCUAGGUACCUCGUCCGCCACGUCGAGCGCCUCACUCGUUGUGUUGGUCGUCUCCAGUUGCUUCAUGGCCUGUGUAAAUGCUCUCCUCUACCUGGGGAAUGAAAGAAACAAAGAACACGAAGGACGGACUGAAAUGGAAGUUGAAUCUUCAUACCUGUAAGUGGGUUCUCGAUUUGACACAAGCGCUCGGCCUCGUCUUCCAGAAGCCUGGUAACAAUGGGAAGAAAAAAGAAGAGAUAUUUAACUAACUUGAGCAUAUCAA